UCCUUAGUACGAGAGGACCGGGAUGGACGCACCGCUGGUGUACCAGUUGUUCCGCCAGGAGCAUCGCUGGGUAGCUACGUGCGGACGGGAUAAACGCUGAAAGCAUCUAAGCGUGAAGCCCCCCUCAAGAUGAGAUUUCCCACUUUUGGUAAGACCCCUUGUAGACGACGAGGUUGAUAGGCUAGAGGUGGACGCGCAGCAAUGUGUGGAGCUGACUAGUACUAAUCGGUCGAGGGCUUAUCCUU
rnacentral:rRNA from 1 species